rnacentral:rRNA from 1 species
UACAGAGGGUGCAAGCGUUGUUCGGAAUUAUUGGGCGUAAAGAGCGUGUAGGCGGCCAGGUAGGUCCGUUGUGAAAACUCGAGGCUCAACCUCGAGACGCCGAUGGAAACCAUCUGGCUAGAGUCCGGAAGAGGAGAGUGGAAUUCCUGGUGUAGCGGUGAAAUGCGCAGAUAUCAGGAAGAACACCCGUGGCUAAGGCGGCUCUCUAGUACGGUACUGACGCUGAGACGCGAAAGCGUGGGGAGCGAACAGG